rnacentral:lncRNA from 1 species
GCCACAACCGACAUUAUCGCCACCGUCUCACCAUGACCACCACCACUCGUACCUUCGUCACCACCAUCAUCUCCACCACUAACUCCACCACCACCACCAUAUUAUCCAAUUUCAUCACCUCGCCAUCAUGGUCAUCGCUACCUCUACCUCACCGUUUUAGUCGCCACUGUGACCAUCACCACAUUCUCCAUCCCGUCACCCUCACCAUGGCC